CCUACGGGUGGCAGCAGUGAGGAAUAUUGCUCAAUGGACGAGAGUCUGAACCAGCCAAGUAGCGUGAAGGAUGACUGCCCUAUGGGUUGUAAACUUCUUUUAUAUGGGAAUAAAAUGUUCCACGUGUGGGAUUUUGUAUUUACCAUAUGAAUAAGGAUCGGCUAACUCCGUGCCAGCAGCCGCGGUAAUACGGAGGAUCCGCGUGUUAUCCGGAUUGGUUGGGUUAAAAGGGUGCGUAGGCGGAUCGUUAAGUCAGUGGGCAAAUUGAGGGGCUCAACCCGGUCCCGCAAUUGAAACUGGCGCUCUUGAGUGGAAGAGAAGUAGGCGGAAUGCGUGGUGUAGCGGUGAAAUGCAUAGAUAUCACGCAGAACCCCGAUUGCGAAGGCAGCAUGCCGGCUUCCGACUGACGCUGAAGCACGAAAGCGUGGGGAUCGAACAGGAUUAGAUACCCUUGUAGUC
rnacentral:rRNA from 1 species